AUCGUACUCCCUUCGUUCGGAAAUACUUGUCCUAAAAAUGAAUAUAAUGAAUGUAUCUAUAACUAAAAUAAGUCUAGAUUCAUUCAUUUCUAGGACAAGUAUUUCCGGACGGAGGGUAAUCA
rfam:Hordeum vulgare subsp. vulgare, WGS project CAJW01000000 data, contig: morex_contig_51999